rnacentral:rRNA from 1 species
UACGUAGGUGGCAAGCGUUGUCCGGAUUUACUGGGCGUAAAGAGCGCGCAGGCGGUCGUUCAAGUCGCGUGUGAAAGCCCCCGGCUCAACUGGGGAGGGUCACGCGAUACUGAUCGACUCGAAGGCAGGAGAGGGUAGUGGAAUUCCCGGUGUAGUGGUGAAAUACGUAGAGAUUGGGAAGAACACCAGUGGCGAAGGCGGCUAUCUGGACGGUACUGACGCUGAGACGCGAAAGCGUGGGGAGCGAACAGG